GGAGGAAAGGAACCAACAGGGAUUGCCCCAGUAACGGCGAGUGAAGCGGCAACAGCUCAGAUUUGAAAUCUGGCCUCUUUGGGGUCCGAGUUGUAAUCUGUAGAGGAUGCUUUUGGCGACGCGCCUUCCGAGUCCCCUGGAACGGGGCGCCAGAGAGGGUGAGAGCCCCGUAUGGUUGGACGCCGAACCUCUGUAAAGCUCCUUCGACGAGUCGAGUAGUUUGGGAAUGCUGCUCAAAAUGGGAGGUAAAUUUCUUCUAAAGCUAAAUACCGGCCAGAGACCGAUAGCGCACAAGUAGAGUGAUCGAAAGAUGAAAAGCACUUUGAAAAGAGGGUCAAAUAGCACGUGAAAUUGCUGAAAGGGAAGCGCUUGUGACCAGACUUGCGCCCGGUUGAUCAUCCAGCGUUCUCGCUGGUGCACUCUGCCGGGCUCAGGCCAGCAUCGGCUCUCCCAGGGGGAUAAAGGUCGCGGGAACGUAGCUCUCUCCGGGGAGUGUUAUAGCCCGUGGCGGAAUGCCCUUAGGGGGGGCCGAGGCCCGCGUUCGCAAGGAUGCUGGCGUAAUGGUCACCAGCGACCCGUCUUGAAACACGGACCAAGGAGUCAAGCAUUAGGGCGAGUCUUUGGGUGUAAAACCCGCAGGCGCAAUGAAAGUGAACGGAGGUGAGAGCUUCGGCGCAUCAUCGACCGAUCCUGAUGUUCUCGGAUGGAUUUGAGUAAGAGCCUUACCGCUUGGACCCGAAAGAUGGUGAACUAUGCCUGAAUAGGGUGAAGCCAGAGGAAACUCUGGUGGAGGCUCGCAGCGGUUCUGACGUGCAAAUCGAUCGUCAAAUUUGGGCAUGGGGGCGAAAGACUAAUCGAACCAUC
rnacentral:rRNA from 1 species